ensembl:lncRNA
GUUAUUGUUCACAUUUCCAUGUGAUUUGACUCAGGCAUGUUUAAAGGGUAGUUUUUGUACCAUGAAGAUGAAGAUUUGAUCCUGCCAUGGCUCCUACAGUAAAUAUUUAUACUUAAUUUUAUCAAAAUGAACAUUGGACUCAACUAUUAUUUUUUCUCCUGGAAUUUUCUUGUCUCAUUAAAAUCUCUGAUGCUGCUUUGCCAUAGUUUCCACCCCAGCUCAGGGUCUCAUGCUCAUUAUAUGCUGGCUCUGGGUUUUAGGACAAAGGUCACUUUAAAAAGAGAAAAUUGUGUUAUAUAAAACUUGGGGAGAAAAUUUGAAUAUGGCAACAACGACUACAAAUCUGUUAUAACUAUAAUGACUUUUGACUACUUUUUCCUCUAGAGAAAAAUUCAAGAUGUCAAAGAAAAUUCUUUCACUGGUAAACUUCUAUUUCAUAAAGCACUGUCUUUUAACUUCCGGCUGAUUUAUCUUCUUUUGGAUAUGGUAACAUCAGAUGGAAGAAAGAGUGGGACACACUGUCUUGGAGGAUCUAGCUCUUCACAGGAAACAUAAUUGGUGCUGUAAUUGGUCCUAUAAUGAAUCAAGUCCAAAAAGCCAGGGCAAUCAAGGACCAUGAGUAACACUCCAAUAGUGAAGCUGGAUCCAGAGAAGGCAAGGUAUGUAUUCAUCAGUGUGUUCACUUCUUUAUCUGUGUUAGUUUUCAC